rnacentral:lncRNA from 1 species
GGGACAGGUGAGCGAUUCAGGACCAUCAUGGUCCUCUUGUUCAAGGCACUAGACAACUUUUGGGGACAGGUACCCAUACCCUCAGGAAGGGGAAUUUUUCGUCGUUUUAAGACAAAAAGGGGAAUUUUUAGCCAUGUGUAUGUUGUGACUUUCACACUUAUUAAUACCACUCUU